AUCGGAGGGAGCUUGCUCCCGAUGAUUAGCGGCGGACGGGUGAGUAACACGUGGGCAACCUGCCUGUAAGACUGGGAUAACUCCGGGAAACCGGGGCUAAUACCGGAUAAUAUCUUUUUAUACAUAUAAUUAGAUUGAAAGAUGGUUCUGCUAUCACUUACAGAUGGGCCCGCGGCGCAUUAGCUAGUUGGUGAGGUAACGGCUCACCAAGGCGACGAUGCGUAGCCGACCUGAGAGGGUGAUCGGCCACACUGGGACUGAGACACGGCCCAGACUCCUACGGGAGGCAGCAGUAGGGAAUCUUCCGCAAUGGACGAAAGUCUGACGGAGCAACGCCGCGUGAGUGAUGAAGGUUUUCGGAUCGUAAAACUCUGUUGUUAG
rnacentral:rRNA from 2 species